rnacentral:lncRNA from 1 species
GAAAAGAAAAAGGAAGACACUCUUACUGGUCAGAGGAGAGAACACAAUUCCUUCAGUGGAACCAGUAAUUCAAGCUACUGCAUAUGCCAAUUAAAGACCAAUUUGGGGAAAGGUGGAUGCCCUGGGCUCCAUCUGCCAUUCAACCACUGAUUACGGCCUUGUACGGAUGGACUUUCAGCAGCAGGAACCCAAAAUCAUUGGUGAAAUAGGAAAGCUAUUGUACAGAUGUUAGAAAAAUAAGACCUUCACAGUCAUCAGAAAAGUUAUCACUUAAUGUCAUGUGUCAUCAGUCCUUCUUUCUUGUGAUUGAUUAUGUUUGUAUACAUGCACUUGAAAUGUGUUUUUAAAAGAGUAUUAUAAGAGAUAUUUUUCCAAUAAGUACAACAAGUAUUCAAUAAUAGAACAAAUAGAACAUUGAUAUCUCAUUAUUAGUAUUGCUCACAUCUAUAUUAUGAGGCAGAAUUAAAGUUGAAAUGCAAUAAGAGCCAUAUUUUAUCAUAAUAGAUAUUUUUCAUUUUCUGAAAUAAUAUAAUAAAAUAAUGUGGUUGGUUAAAGUAUGUACACACAGGCUAUCAAUUAAGAUGUUUUAAAUUUAAUUAAAUAUUAAAUAAUAAAAGCCACAAGGGGAAGUAAGGGAAGUAAGACAAUUCUUUCUUUAACAUACAACACAUUUAAAUGUUUUCUGAUAAUUAUAGAAAUAUCAAAAUCAGAUCAAUCUUCAUACCUCAGAAAAUUAAAUGAUUAAAUACUGGGGACUAUUAAAACAAAUAAAACUGUUUAUUCCACAACUUUGCACAGCUAAAAAAAAAUAUUCUAUCAUGUCUAGAAACACGUUUCUGACAUAUGCACACCUCACCAGCAUACCUCAGGUUAUUAUACACCUCCAACCACAGCCUCACGGUGGCAGGCAGUCAGUAAGAUGGACCCCAGUGAUCCCUGCCUCCUGGUAUUCACAGUCUAGGGUAAUCUCCUUCCCUGAGUGUGAGCCUGUGGCUUACUUCUAACCAAUAAGAGUACAGAAAAAGCAAUGGGAUGUCAAUUCUGUGAGUUUGUAAAAUUGUAACUUCCAUCUUGCAAGCUAACUCUCUUCUUUGCUGGCUUUCAUGACGCAAUAUACCAUGUUGGAGAGGCUCGCGUGGCGAAGAACUGAGAGGCCUGUAGGAACGAAGUCCAAUAGCCAGGUAGGAAGGAGUCCCUCAGUCCCACAACCCAAGGAAACUGAAUUCUGUCAACUAACACGCAUGUAAGUGAGCUUGGAAGUGACUUGUUCCCCAAGUGAGUCUUCAGAUGAGGUCCUAGCCAACUUUUUGAUUGCAGCUUGUGACACACCCUGAAGCAAAGGACUCAGCUAAGUUGUGUCCUAAUUCCUCCACUGUGAGAAAAUAAAUGUGUGUUUUUUAAAAUGCUAAAUUUGUGGUAAUUUUUAUUCAGUAAUAGAUAGCUAAUACAUGCAUGUACAUACAAACACAUGCACACACACAGUAUUUGGCUUUCACACUGAGGAGAACACAGUUAGUAGGCCCUUUUCAUGUGGCUUUUAAGGUAGCACAAUUACUUUUCUUCGUCUGUGAUCCACCUUUGUGUUCUUCAGGUUCUUUUCCAGGCCUUUGCCCCGAGUGUGUGGGGGACCAAAGGGAUGUCAUGCUGUAUGGAUGGUAUUGCAUAUUCAUAUCCUUGGAUCUGAAAGUAGUCCUAGAACAUAUCCUAAGGAGAUCAUCUAUCAAGAUUAGAGAAUUUCCUUCAUGAUGUUGUUUAUCGUGGCAAAACUAGGAACAACCUGAAUACCAGUCCCUCCAAGAAGCUAUUGAAUAAUAUGGGUAUCCCUGUUCAGGAAAAAUGCAAACAAACCACUAAAAAGAGUAAAAUAAUCUUUAUUGAUAUGAAAAGAUGUUUAAUGUUUACUAUUACAUUUUUAAAAGAAGUUAAAAAUCUCGUUAAAAACUAGUUUAAAACCCACUCUUAUUCCAUACUUGUAUUAUAGAUAAUAUAUAUGUAGUUUUUUUUAAGUAGAAAAAUUUCUGGAAAAAUACUUAUAAAAAUGCUAUUUGUUUUCUAUGGAUAGAGUAAAACCAGAUAAGUGAAAGAAAAUACCCGUGUUUUCUAUAUUUUCUACAAUGUUUAUUCCUGAAUAGAUGUUUCAAGGCUUUCAUUAUGUUCAUAGAUUAAUUGAAGUGAAUGGAAACUGUUUCUUAGACAACCUAAAAUAUAUCCCAAUUCCAACUUCCAGGUCUGUCUUCAUUGCUUCGAGUGCAGUUGUAUGAAAUACUUCUCAGUGAGGCCAAAUUUCUUAAUAAUGAUUAAUUCCAGUUUCAUUUUUCACCCUCUUCAUUCCAUUUGAGAAGAGUAGUGGAAAGGAGUAUGGUACCAUACCCCACACUUUAGACCUAUGGUCUUGUAGAACUUCUUAGGGAUCUACUUUAAUAAAAAUUUAAUUUGCUGGUUACAUCAGAUGAUGUCACACAGUUAAUGAGCAUUCUCUCCUAUGCUGUACCUUCUCUGUUCUACUAAUAUAGCUAUGGUCAAUUUUUCUAUCAUGGAGAAGAACUGAAUCUGUGGAUAACUCCUACUAUUUUUCUGGAAGUAAAAAUUUAACUGUUAUGUUGUAGAAAAUUCAAAUAUAUAUGAUUCCUUUAUAUAAACUAUGUACACAUAUGAUUAAUCCAUUGAUUAACACCUGUUUUCAGUAAUGUUAAUGCCAUCUUGAUCAUAACAUUUAAUUAAAAGGUGACAAAUGUUAGUUAAGUAA